rnacentral:rRNA from 1 species
ACGGGAGGCAGCAGUGGGGAAUAUUGGGCAAUGGGCGCAAGCCUGACCCAGCAACGCCGCGUGAAGGAUGAAGGUCUUCGGAUUGUAAACUUCUUUAAUCGGGGAAGAAAAAAAUGACUACCCGAAGAAUAAGCCACGGCUAACUACGUGCCAGCAGCCGCGGUAAUACGUAGGUGGCAAGCGUUAUCCGGAUUUACUGGGUGUAAAGGGCGUGUAGGCGGCUCUGUAAGUCAGAAGUGAAAUUCCCGAGCUCAACUUGGGCGCUGCUUCUGAAACUACAGAACUUGAGUACUGGAGGGGAAAGCGGAAUUCCUAGUGUAGCGGUAAAAUGCGCAGAUAUUAGGAAGAACACCAGUGGCGAAGGCGACUUGCUGGACCGAGACUGACGCUGAGGCUCGAAAGCGUGGGGAGCAAACAGGAUUAGAUACCCUGGUA